rnacentral:rRNA from 1 species
GCUGGUAAGGGCGUAUGGUGGAUGCCUUGGCAGACAGUACCGAUGAAGGACGUGUGGGGCCGCGAUAGGCCUCGGGGAGCCGCCGACAGGGCUUUGAUCCGAGGAUUUCCGAAUGGGGCAACCCGCCACCCGUCAUGGGGUGGCACCGCAUUCGUGCGGGGGGUACGCAGGGAAGUGAAACAUCUCAGUACCUGCAGGAGGAGAUAUUCCGUGAGUAGUGGCGAGCGAAAGCGGAUGAUGGCUAAACCCGUGCCGUGUGAUACCCGUCGGGGGUUGCGGUAUGGGUGUUGUGGGACGUUCCGUCCGGGUGCCGACGCGCCCGGCGGUGGUGAUAAAACCGUGUGUGAGGCGAGCAGGAUUGAAUGCCUGGCCGUAGAGGGUGAUGGCCCCGUAGCCGAACGCGCAUGGUCCGCCGGUGGACGCUCCCGAGUAGCGCGGGACUCGUGGAAUCCCGUGUGAAUCCGCACCGACCGUGGUGUAAGCCUGAAUAUACCUGUCUGACCGAUAGCGAACGAGUACCGUGAGGGAAAGGUGAAAAGCACCCCGGGAGGGGAGUGAAACAGUUUCUGAAACCGUGCGCUUACAAACCGUCGGAGCCUUUCGGGGUGACGGCGUGCCUAUCGAAAAAUGAGUCUGCGAGUCAGUGGUGCGUGGCGAGGCUAACCCGUGUGGGGCAGCCGUAGCGAAAGCGAGUCUGAAAAGGCGUUUGAGUCGCGUGCCCUGGACCCGAAGCGGGAUGAUCUAGCCCUGAGCAGGUUGAAGCGCGGGUAAGGCCGCGUGGAGGACCGAACCCACUUAGGUUGAAAACUGAGGGGAUGACUUGGGGUUAGGGGUGAAAGGCCAAUCAAAUUCCGUGAUAGCUGGUUCUCUCCGAAAUGCAUUUCGGUGCAGCGUCGCGUUGUGUGUCUGCCGGGGGUAGAGCUACCGGAUGCCUGAGGGCCCUUGUGGGGUACCGAGGGCAGCCGAACUCCGAAUACCGGUCAGGUGUAUCGCGGCAGUGAGUCGGCGGGGGAUAAGCUCCGUCGUCGAAAGGGAGACAGCCCAGACCGUCGUCUAAGGUCCCUAAGUGUGUGCUAAGUGGGAAAGGAUGUGGAGUCGCAUAGACAGCCAGGAGGUUGGCUCAGAAGCAGCCAUCCUUGAAAGAGUGCGUAACAGCUCACUGGUCUAGUGGCUCCGCGCCGACAAUGUAGCGGGGCUCAAGCACGCCACCGAAGACGCGGCAGCAGCCGUUCGGCUGUUGGGUAGGAGAGCGUUCCGCAUGGGGUGAAGCGGCCGGGUGACCGUGUCGUGGACCGUGCGGAAGUGAGAAUGCAGACAUGAGUAGCGAAAGGCGGGUGACAAUCCCGUCCGCUGGAUGACCAAGGGUUCCAGGGCAACGUUCGUCGUCCCUGGGUGAGUCGGGUCCUAAGGCGAGGCCGACAGGCGUAGUCGAAUGGAUGAACGGGUCGAUAGUCCCGUACCGAUGCGAGCGCGUCAGGCUCGAACCGUUGAGGCCGUGUCUUUCACCGGCCCCGAGGCCGCUUUCGGGCGGCGGAGGGGCGGGUGGUUCAUGGUGGAUGCGGGGAGGGCAGCGCAGGAGUGACGCGAUGGGAGAGCCGGGCCGCGGCGGUGGUAGUCCGUGGUCAAGCGUGCGGCGCGCCAGGCAGGCAAAUCCGUCUGGCAUGAGCGUGAGGCGUGAUGAUGGGGGGUCUUGUGCCCCGAAUCCGGUGGUUCCCGUCGCCGAGAAAACCUUCGGCGUGAGUUCUCGCACCGCCCGUACCCCAAACCGACACAGGUGGUCAGGUAGAGCAUACCAAAGCGAUCGAGCGAAUCCUGGUCAAGGAACUCGGCAAAUUGCUCCCGUGCCUUCGGCAUAAGGGAGACCCAUGGCGGUGAAGGGGCUUGCCCCCGGAGCGGUUGUGGGUGGCACAGGCCAGGGGGUAGCGACUGUUUACCAAAAACACAGGUGCAUGCGAAGGCGUAAGCCGCUGUAUAUGCACUGACGCCUGCCCGGUGCCGGAAGGUUAAGAGGAUCCGUCAUCCAUUUCGGUGGUGAAGCGGUGAAUUCAAGCCCCGGUAAACGGCGGUGGUAACUAUAACCAUCCUAAGGUAGCGAAAUUCCUUGUCGGGUAAGUUCCGACCUGCACGAAUGGCGUAACGACUUCCCCACUGUCUCGACCAGGAGCUCGGCGAAAUUGCAGUACGAGUAAAGAUGCUCGUUAAGCGCAGAAGGACGAAAAGACCCCGGGACCUUUACUAUACCUUGGUAUUGGUGUUAGGCAGCGACUGUGUAGGAUAGGCGGGAGGCUUCGAAGCAUGGGCGCCAGCCCGUGUGGAGCCGGAAAUUGAAAUACCGCUCUGUUGCUGUCUGGCUUCUAACCUCGGCCAGUGAUCCUGGUCAGGGACAGUGCCUGGCGGGUAGUUUAACUGGGGCGGUUGCCUCCCAAAGAGUAACGGAGGCGCUCAACGGUCCCCUCAGCCCGGUUGGCAAUCGGGUUUCGAGUGCAAUCGCACAAGGGGGCUUGACUGCGAGAGCGACGGCUCGAGCAGGGACGAAAGUCGGAGAUAGUGAUCCGGUGCCGGCGUACGGACGCGGCAUCGCUCAACGGAUAAAAGGUACCCCGGGGAUAACAGGCUGAUCAUUCCCAAGAGUCCAUAUCGACGGGAUGGUUUGGCACCUCGAUGUCGGCUCGUCGCAUCCUGGGGCUGGAGCAGGUCCCAAGGGUUCGGCCGUUCGCCGAUUAAAGCGGCACGCGAGCUGGGUUCAGAACGUCGUGAGACAGUUUGGUCUCUAUCCUCUGCGCUCGUUGGAAUCUUGAGGAGACCUGCCCAUAGUACGAGAGGACCUGGGUGGACGAACCUCUGGUAUGCCGGUUGUCGCGCCAGCGGCACGGCCGGUUGGCUACGUUCGGAUGGGAUAACCGCUGAAAGCAUCUAAGCGGGAAGCCCCCUCCAAGAUAAGGAUUCCAUGCGCCCUCCGGGGCGCGAGAGGCCCCAUGUGGAACACGUGGUUGAUAGGCCGGACGCGGACACCCCGCAAGGGGCGGAGCCGACCGGUACUAACGGCCGAUGGCGACACUACA